UUAAUGGCGAUGAAGGGAACAAGUACCCUGAAGUGUUCUGUCCAGAGAAGUCCCGGUUGGUGCAAGGGAUCACAGAACGGCAGGGGAAAUACCUCCCGGAGCCGCAGGCUGAAUGCGUAAGGCUAGUAGGCUGUGCCGCGUGCGAGCGUUAAAGACGCAGGAGUGUCGCUCUACUCUGGGGUGCGCACUCGUAAGGCCGUUUCCGUGAGGAAACGGCAAACAGAGGUGGUACCGCGAAGUUAUAUCGCCCUCUGC
rnacentral:ncRNA from 1 species